rnacentral:rRNA from 1 species
GACGAACGCUGGCGGCGUGCUUAACACAUGCAAGUCGAGCGGUAAGGCCCUUUCGGGGGUACACGAGCGGCGAACGGGUGAGUAACACGUGGGUGACCUGCCCUCAGCUCUGGGAUAAGCCUGGGAAACCGGGUCUAAUACUGGAUAUGACUCCAUGACGCAUGUUGUGGGGUGGAAAGCCUUGUGCGGCUGAGGAUGGGCCCGCGGCCUAUCAGCUUGUUGGUGGGGUGANGGCCUACCAAGGCGACGACGGGUAGCCGGCCUGAGAGGGCGACCGGCCACGCUGGGACUGAGACACGGCCCAGACUCCUACGGGAGGCAGCAGUGGGGAAUCUUGCGCAAUGGGCGAAAGCCUGACGCAGCGACGCCGCGUGAGGGAUGACGGCCU